GUCCACGCCGUAAACGAUGCUAACUCGUUUUUGGGCUUUCGGGUUCAGAGACUAAGCGAAAGUGAUAAGUUAGCCACCUGGGGAGUACGUUCGCAAGAAUGAAACUCAAAGGAAUUGACGGGGGCCCGCACAAGCGGUGGAGCAUGUGGUUUAAUUCGAUGAUACGCGAGGAACCUUACCAAGACUUAAAUGGGAAUUGAUCGGUUUAGAAAUAGACCUUCCUUCGGGCAAUUUUCAAGGUGCUGCAUGGUUGUCGU
rnacentral:rRNA from 1 species